rnacentral:sRNA from 1 species
UAUUCUGCCCCACGGGGAAGGAUGAGAAGCUUCGACUAAGGUUCGACUCGAGCGAAGCGAGAGAACGUUGCCGCAGGCAACGGCCCGAAGGGCGAGGCGCUUUAGCGCCGAGUAAUCCUUACCCCACCACUG